CUCCAUUGGAGCUCCCUGUGGUGGCUGGACCCGAGACAGGAUCGGAACUCAAAGGGACGGACUUCUCGGCAGGACCUUGGGAGGAAAUCCUUCCCUCCCACUCUGAUGCACAGCAGUGGGAGUCGUUGAUAUGAACCUGUCCUGAAAACAGCUGGUUUGAGGAGGCCUGGGCAGACUGCCAGGGCAACGGGCCCAAAGCAACACUGACAUCCAACAGACAGGAUUUGUCUUCCAGAUAACAAACCCAGGCAAUGUAACAGGCAGCUGCUCGCAGUCCCUGGUGCCACGGAAGCGUUUGGAUGACAGCGCCGCCUCCAUGCCCUCGAUCUCACAGUGGCGGAUCUCCCUGAUGGCACUGUGGAUCAUUCGCCGCUCGUCCAGAAAACGACAUCAGUCCAAAUGUGUGACCAUGAAGAAGUGUGAUAAAGGAACCUAUAAACCAGCUAAAAAACAUACUGUAAUGCCAGCCCACGACCUCAUUAUUACAAGACGCAACUCACAUCCCUACAAGGAGAGCACAAGGGUAAAAAGCAACUAUUUUAAGGGAAUUUGCUUGGAAACUGUGGACUUAGGGGGCUACAAAUCCCACAAAUACAUAUUACAUGGCUUAAAGAGAGGAAGCAAAUGUGAACCAAUGUAAAUGUACAAGGCUAUAGAUAAGAAAUCAGCUGUGGUAUACUGUAGAUAAUGUGUUAAACAUGGGGUGUAAAAUGUUCAUUUGCAUGUAUCAUAAACAGUACUUGAAAUACUGCAACUGAACACGACAAAUCCAACAUAUACAAUACCUUAUAUGUAGAAUAAAAACGAAUUGCCCUGUCACCAAUAUACUGUAUUAUACGGUACCUUGCUUCCAAGCCUGGAAAACUGGUUUCAAAUUGUAACACUGUUUGCCACAUUGCACUCUUUUUAAGGUGGUGUGUCAACACUUUAUAAUACAUAUUAUAUUGUCAUUUUUGUGAUUGACAAGCCCAGAUAAUUAUCAUAUUCUGAAAUUUCAACCCUGGGAAAUUUGUCUCUGCCUAUAUGGUAAAGAACAGUACAGUUUUUUUAAAUCACUAACACAUCACUAACACAUCAUUGAACUUCCUCCCUACC